GAUGAACGCUAGCGGCAGGCUUAAUACAUGCAAGUCGAGGGGCAGCAGUUUUGUAGCAAUACAGAAGCUGGCGACCGGCAAACGGGUGCGGAACACGUACGCAACCUUCCUCUAACUGGAAGAUAGCCCACCGAAAGGUGGAUUAAUAUUCCAUAGUAUAUUGAAAAGGCAUCUUUUUGAUAUUAAAGCUCCGGCGGUUAGGGAUGGGCGUGCGUCUGAUUAGGUAGUUGGCGGGGUAACGGCCCACCAAGCCUACGAUCAGUAGCUGAUGUGAGAGCAUGAUCAGCCACACGGGCACUGAGACACGGGCCCGACUCCUACGGGAGGCAGCAGUAAGGAAUAUUGGCCAAUGGACGCAAGUCUGAACCAGCCAUGCCGCGUGGAGGAUGAAGGCCCUCUGGGUUGUAAACUUCUUUUCUUUGGGACGAAACCCCUGUUUCUACGGGGACUGACGAUACCAGAGGAAUAAGCACCGGCUAACUCCGUGCCAGCCGCCGCCGUAAUAC
rnacentral:rRNA from 1 species